GCCAUAUGAUGUCACUGUAGACUUCUUGAAGCUCUGUGCAAAAGAUGACCUACAUCUACCAUUGAAGACUGAUGGCU